UAAUAGGUGGUCUAGCGGCUAGGAUCCCACGCUCUCACCGCUGUGGCCUGGGUUCGAUCCCCAGGCAGGGGA